rnacentral:rRNA from 1 species
UACGUAGGGUGCAAGCGUUGCCCGGAAUUAUUGGGCGUAAAGAGCUUGUAGGCGGUUUGUCGCGUCUGCUGUGAAAUUUCGGGGCUCAACCCCGAACUUGCAGUGGGUACGGGCAGACUAGAGUGUGGUAGGGGAGACUGGAAUUCCUGGUGUAGCGGUGAAAUGCGCAGAUAUCGGGAGGAACACCGGUGGCGAAGGCGGCCCGCUGGCCAGCGACUGACGCUGAGACGCGAAAGCGUGGGGAGCAAACAGG